UACGUAGGGACCAAGCGUUGUUCGGAUUUACUGGGCGUAAAGGGCUCGUAGGCGGCCAACUAAGUCGGAUGUGAAAUCCCCAGGCUCAACCUGGGAACUGCAUCCGAUACUGGAUGGCUUGAAUCCGGGAGAGGGAUGCAGAAUUCCAGGUGUAGCGGUGAAAUGCGUAGAUAUCUGGAGGAAUACCGGUGGCGAAGGCGGCAUCCUGGACCGGCAUUGACGCUGAGGAGCGAAAGCUAGGGGAGCAAACGGG
rnacentral:rRNA from 1 species